AACGAUUUUACUCAUUAACCUGUUCAAUUUGCAGGUAAUUUAGGGUUCCAAAUUAGGGCAAAUGAGAAGGAGCAAAGAUAGCACCAAUUAUGCAAAAAGAGGUGGAAAGAUUGGUGAUUUUUGGCUUUUGUCCAAGCUUUCGUUGAUAGAGUUAUCCGAUAUAAGUAUUGGUGGGAGGUAACAAGUAUCUCGUGUAAUUAGUCAAGGUACGUGCAAAAUGGCUUGACUUAAGUUCAUUAAUUUAUUCAUUUCCAAUUUGUUGAUAUAUAUUUGGAGAAGACUAAUUUAAUUUGUUUCUAACAUGUUUACAGAGGUAAAAGAAAGAGGAAUAGAAGAAGAUAGUGAAUGUAAUAAAAUUGAUCUUCUUAUUGAUUAAUGCACAAAGUACAUAAAGGUGUUACGAGAACAACAUUCAGUAAUAAUUAAUAAGAAUGAAUAAAAGAGGACAAUAUCCUCAAUACAAAUAA